GAUUUUUGUCUUGCGAAAGUUUGAUUAGUUAGAAUGAUUGUUUCCAACUUAAUCCACAUCCCUGCAAAGGACAUGAACUCAUUCUUUUUUAUGGUUGCAUAGUAUUCCAUGGUGUAUUU